UACGAAGGGGCGAGCGUUGUUCGGAUUUACUGGGCGUAAAGGGCGCGCAGGCGGCUCAUUUUGUCAGGCGUGAAAGCCCCGGGCUUAACCGGGGAACUGCGUCUGAUACUGGAUGGCUUGAGUUUGGGAGAGGGACGCGGAAUUCCAGGUGUAGCGGUGAAAUGCGUAGAUAUCUGGAGGAACACCGGUGGCGAAGGCGGCAUCCUGGACCGACACUGACGCUGAGGAGCGAAAGCCAGGGGAGCAAACGGG
rnacentral:rRNA from 1 species